CUUCUUACCUCGGAGACCGGCUGCGGAUAUGGGUACGCACUGGCCCGAAAGUAGGCGUCGCGGACUGGGAGUCCGCUCGAGCCUCAGUUACCGCCCUCGCGUGUUUCACGGGCCGGCGGUGGCGCUCGGGACGCCGCAAGAACCGCGGCGCUCUACGGCAAGACCGUGUUACCAACACCCUUUCUCUCUGCGAAUGGCUUCCAGGGUCACGGCGCCUUAAACAGAAAAGAGAACUCUUUCCCGGACCACCGCCGACGGACGCGAGCUGGUUCCCGUUACCGGGCUCCUGCACAGGGCAGCAUUCCCCCGCCCGGAGGCAAGGGCGCUUACGCCUGAUUGGCAUCCGGGUCCUGGUUACGGAAUAAUGACCGUAUUCCCUUUCGCCACUGAUCACAGCGGGCAACUUCCCGUGGGCGGCCAACARGAAAAUGGCCUUC
rnacentral:rRNA from 1 species